GUCGUAACAAGGUCUCCGUUGGUGAACCAGCGGAGGGAUCAUUACCGAGUUUACAACUCCCAAACCCAUGUGAACAUACCUUUAAACGUUGCCUCGGCGGGAACCGAUCGCCCCGUAACAAGGGCCGGCCCGCCAGAGGACCCCCAAACUCUUGUAUUAUUUGGUAUCCUCUGAGUAAACAAGCAAAAUAAAUCAAAACUUUCAACAACGGAUCUCUUGGUUCUGGCAUCGAUGAAGAACGCAGCGAAAUGCGAUAAGUAAUGUGAAUUGCAGAAUUCAGUGAAUCAUCGAAUCUUUGAACGCACAUUGCGCCCGCCAGUAUUCUGGCGGGCAUGCCUGUCCGAGCGUCAUUUCAACCCUCGAGCCCCCGGGCUUGGUGUUGGGGAUCGGCGCCGCCUCCGUGCGGCCCGCCGGCCCCGAAAUCUAGUGGCGGUCUCGCUGCAGCCUCCUCUGCGUAGUAGAAACACCUCGCACUGGAACGCGGCGCGGCCACGCCGUUAAACAACCCACUAUAUCCAAAGGUUGACCUCGGAUCAGGUAGGAAUACCCGCUGAACUUAAGCAUAUCAAUA
rnacentral:rRNA from 1 species